rnacentral:lncRNA from 1 species
CAUUUAAGUGGUAGGCAGCAAGACAUAACGAAAGAAAUGAGACAACUAGCAUGAUAGUGAUAGUAGUGGUAUCUAGGAAAAUGGUCAUCUUGCCUGUGAUCCUGCUUGGAAGAAGAACGACUCUCUGAAGCAGAUGAGCCGACGUAUUCGUACAGAUCCUCACAUUCCGACACGCUUGCAGUAUUAUAUCGAGAAGAAGCAAACCCGAAACAAGAAUCAAUACGCAAUAUUCACCACGACACAUGCAUGAUAUGAUGCAUGUCCAUUUUAAUUAUACAGGUCAUGGCAUGGCAAUUCACAAC